AACGAACGCUGGCGGCACGCCUAACACAUGCAAGUCGAGCGCUUCACUUCGGUGAGGAGCGGCGGACGGGUUAGUAACGCGUGGGAACAUACCCUUUUCUAAGGAAUAGCCACUGGAAACGGUGAGUAAUACCUUAUACGCCCUUCGGGGGAAAGAUUUAUCGGUGAAGGAUUGGCCCGCGUUAGAUUAGUUUGUUGGUGGGGUAAUGGCCUACCAAGACUACGAUCUAUAGCUGGUUUGAGAGGAUGAUCAGCAACACUGGGACUGAGACACGGCCCAGACUCCUACGGGAGGCAGCAGUGGGGAAUCUUAGACAAUGGGCGCAAGCCUGAUCUAGCGAUGCCGCGUGAGUGAUGAAGGCCUUAGGGUCGUAAAGCUCUUUCGCCAGGGAUGAUAAUGACAGUACCUGGUAAAGAAACCCCGGCUAACUCCGUGCCAGCAGCCGCGGUAAUACGGAGGGGGUUAGCGUUGUUCGGAAUUACUGGGCGUAAAGCGUACGUAGGCGGAUCAGAAAGUAAGGGGUGAAAUCCCAGGGCUCAACCCUGGAACUGCCUCUUAAACUCCUGGUCUUGAGUUCGAGAGAGGUGAGUGGAAUUCCAAGUGUAGAGGUGAAAUUCGUAGAUAUUUGGAGGAACACCAGUGGCGAAGGCGGCUCACUGGCUCGAUACUGA
rnacentral:rRNA from 1 species